rnacentral:rRNA from 1 species
UUGGAGGGCAAGUCUGGUGCCAGCAGCCGCGGUAAUUCCAGCUCCAAUAGCGUAUAUUAAAGUUGUUGCAGUUAAAAAGCUCGUAGUUGAACUUCGGGAUCAAUUGAUUGGUCAUGCCAUUGGUAUGUACUGGUCAUAUUGGUUCUCACCUUCUAAGGAACCAUAAUGUCAUUAAUUUGAUGUUUUGGGGAAUUAGGACUGUUACCUUGAAAAAAUUAGAGUGUUUAAAGCAGGCUAACGCUUGAAUACAUUAGCAUGGAAUAAUGAAAUAGGACAUCGCAUUCUAUUUUGUUGGUUUCUAGGAUCGAUGUAAUGAUUAAUAGGGAUAGUUGGGGGCAUUAGUAUUCAAUUGUCAGAGGUGAAAUUCUUGGAUUUAUUGAAGACUAACUACUGCGAAAGCAUUUGCCAAGGAUGUUUUCAUUAAUCAAGAACGAAAGUUAGGGGAUCGAAGACGAUCAGAUACCGUCGUAGUCUUAACCAUAAACUAUGCCGACUAGGGAUCGGAUGAUGUUAAUUUUUUAAUGACUCAUUCGGCGCCUUACGGGAAAC